GGGGGGGGGGGGGGGGGGGCCGGGGGCAGGCAGGGCGAGCGAGGGGGCGGGGGGGUUGCGUGUCUGGUGGUAGCGGCGGACGGGUGGGUAACACGUGGGUGACCUGCCUAUCAUACUGGGAUAACUUCGGGAAACCGUAGCUAAUACCGGCUAAUCUUUUGAACCGCAUGGUUAAAAAGUGAAAGACGGUCUUGCUGUCACUGAUAGAUGGAUCCGCGCUGCAUUAGCUAGUUGGUAAGGUACCGGCUUACCAAGGCAACGAUGCAUAGCCGACCUGAGAGGGUGAUCGGCCACACUGGAACUGAGACACGGUCCAGACUCCGACGGGAGGCAGCAGUAGGGAAUCUUCCGCAAGGGGCGAAAGCCUGACGGAGCAACGCCGCGUGAGUGAUGAAGGUCUUCGGAUCGUAAAACUCUGUUAUUAGGGAAGAACAUAUGUGUAAGUAACUGUGCACAUCUUGACGGUACCUAAUCAGAAAGCCACGGCUAACUACGUG
rnacentral:rRNA from 1 species